rnacentral:rRNA from 1 species
GGACGAACGCUGGCGGCGUGCCUAAUACAUGCAAGUAGAACGCUGAAGAGAGGAGCUUGCUCUUCUUGGAUGAGUUGCGAACGGGUGAGUAACGCGUAGGUAACCUGCCUUGUAGCGGGGGAUAACUAUUGGAAACGAUAGCUAAUACCGCAUAACAAUAGGUGACACAUGUCAUUUAUUUGAAAGGGGCAAUUGCUCCACUACAAGAUGGACCUGCGUUGUAUUAGCUAGUAGGUGAGGUAACGGCUCACCUAGGCGACGAUACAUAGCCGACCUGAGAGGGUGAUCGGCCACACUGGGACUGAGACACGGCCCAGACUCCUACGGGAGGCAGCAGUAGGGAAUCUUCGGCAAUGGGGGCAACCCUGACCGAGCAACGCCGCGUGAGUGAAGAAGGUUUUCGGAUCGUAAAGCUCUGUUGUAAGUCAAGAACGAGUGUGAGAGUGGAAAGUUCACACUGUGACGGUAGCUUACCAGAAAGGGACGGCUAACUACGUG